CGAAAGUAAGACUAAUACCCAAUGACGUCUCUAGAAGACAUCUGAAAGGGAUUAAAGAUUUAUCGGUGAUGGAUGGGGAUGCGUCUGAUUAGCUUGUCGGCGGGGUAACGGCCCACCAAGGCGACGAUCAGUAGGGGUUCUGAGAGGAAGGUCCCCCACAUUGGAACUGAGACACGGUCCAAACUCCUACGGGAGGCAGCAGUGAGGAAUAUUGGUCAAUGGACGAGAGUCUGAACCAGCCAAGUAGCGUGCAGGAAGACGGCCCUAUGGGUUGUAAACUGCUUUUAUAAGGGAAUAAAGUGAGUCUCGUGAGACUUUUUGCAUGUACCUUAUGAAUAAGGACCGGCUAAUUCCGUGCCAGCAGCCGCGGUAAUACGGAAGGUCCGGGCGUUAUCCGGAUUUAUUGGGUUUAAAGGGAGCGUAGGCCGGAGAUUAAGCGUGUUGUGAAAUGUAGACGCUCAACGUCUGCACUGCAGCGCGAACUGGUUUCCUUGAGUACGCACAAAGUGGGCGGAAUUCGUGGUGUAGCGGUGAAAUGCUUAGAUAUCACGAAGAACUCCGAUUGCGAAGGCAGCUCACUGGAGCGCAACUGACGCUGAAGCUCGAAAGUGCGGGUAUCGAACA
rnacentral:rRNA from 1 species